rnacentral:rRNA from 1 species
UACGUAGGGUGCAAGCGUUGUCCGGAAUUAUUGGGCGUAAAGAGCUCGUAGGCGGUCUGUCACGUCGGCUGUGAAAUCCCGAGGCUCAACCUCGGGUCUGCAGUCGAUACGGGCAAACUAGAGUAUUGCAGGGGAGACUGGAAUUCCUGGUGUAGCGGUGAAAUGCGCAGAUAUCAGGAGGAACACCGGUGGCGAAGGCGGGUCUCUGGGCAACAACUGACGCUCAUGCACGAAAGCGUGGGGAGCAAACAGG